rnacentral:misc_RNA from 1 species
CUGAGUUAUCCAACUCCCAAACCCCUGUGAACAUACCUAUGUUGCUUCGGCGGACCGUCCCGCGGCGCGCCCUCGUGGCGUGACCCGGAUCCAGGCGCCCGCCGGAGAACCAAACUCUUGUUUUCUAUUCUAGUGUCUCCUCUGAGUGGCAUAAGCAAAAAUAAACA